GACGAACGCUGGCGGCGUGCUUAACACAUGCAAGUCGAACGGAAAGGCCCUGCUUUUGUGGGGUUCUCGGGUGGCGAACGGGUGAGUAACACGUGAGUAACCUGCCCUUGACUUUGGGAUAACUUCACGAAACUGGGGCUACUACCGGAUAGGAGCUCCUGCUGCAUGGUGGGGGUUGGAACGUUUCGGCGGUUGGGGAUGGACUCGCGGCUUAUCAGCUUGUUGGUGGGGUAGUGGCUUACCAAGGCUUUGACGGGUAGCCGGCCUGAGAGGGUGACCGGCCACAUUGGGACUGAGAUACGGCCCAGACUCCUACGGGAGGCAGCAGUGGGGAAUAUUGCACAAUGGGCGGAAGCCUGAUGCAGCAACGCCGCGUGCGGGAUGACGGCCUUCGGGUUGUAAACCGCUUUCGCCUGUGACGAGGCGUGAGUGACGGUAAUGGGUAAAGAAGCACCGGCUAACUACGUG
rnacentral:rRNA from 1 species